rnacentral:misc_RNA from 1 species
GUAGGUGAACCUGCGGAAGGAUCAUUAACGAACGAGGAAUUCAAUUUACUUGAAUUUCUUGGGAUCAACCAAAACCUGUAUGAUGAUGUAAAUUGUAUAUCGAUUAAUAAUUGUAUAUCGAUUAAUAAUCGUAUACGAAAAUAAUUUUAAUAAAAUACAAAACUUUCAACAACGGAUCUCUUGGCUCUU